rnacentral:rRNA from 1 species
ACUCCUGCGGGAGGCAGCAGUGGGGAAUUUUGGACAAUGGGCGAAAGCCUGAUCCAGUAAUGCCGCGUGAGUGAAGAAGGCCUUCGGGUUGUAAAGCUCUUUUGUCAGGGAAGAAACGGUGAGAGCUAAUAUCUCUUGCUAAUGACGGUACCUGAAGAAUAAGCACCGGCUAACUACGUGCCAGCAGCCGCGGUAAUACGUAGGGUGCAAGCGUUAAUCGGAAUUACUGGGCGUAAAGCGUGCGCAGGCGGUUUUGUAAGUCUGAUGUGAAAUCCCCGGGCUCAACCUGGGAAUUGCAUUGGAGACUGCAAGGCUAGAAUCUGGCAGAGGGGGGUGGAAUUCCACGUGUAGCAGUGAAAUGCGUAGAUAUGUGGAGGAACACCGAUGGCGAAGGCAGCCCCCUGGGUCAAGAUUGACGCUCAUGCACGAAAGCGUGGGGAGCAAACAGGAUUAGAAACCCGGGUAGUCCC